UCUCUCAAGGAAAUGCUUGAGAGGGAAAGGGAACACAAGCCAACAUUAGGCCAGGAAGUCAUUUUAGUGACAUUUGGGUAAGGUCUUGAAAGCAGCUGUUACUGGAUAGUUAAGUCUGAAAGAAGGAAAUAAUGAAGAAAACCAUCUGAAUUAAGGUGCCCUUUAUUUCUUAAUAAUUUUUUCAGCUUUGAUAGAUGGGAUCUAUUCCAAAAUGUCCAAAAAAAAACAUUGUUGCUAUAGAAACAGCAAGAUCGUGAGAGGAGAAAGGUAUCAAAGACCCAGCAACCAGCUGCCUUGCCCGGCUACUUUGGGGUUCAGUUCUUCCUUCCUGGGACUACCCUGGACCUCACCUUGGGGACCUGCUGAAACCAGAGUUCUGAACGGAACUUUGCAUACAGAUGGAGACUCAGGGAUGAAUAAACAGGCAGCCCUGUGUUCCUCUCCCCUUUUGUUUUAUUUCAAAUGAAAACAAUCUUGAUAAAAAUGAAUACAAUAUGUUCAUUCUA